AUUGAACGCUGGCGGCAGGCCUAACACAUGCAAGUCGAGCGGAUGAAGGGAGCUUGCUCCUGGAUUCAGCGGCGGACGGGUGAGUAAUGCCUAGGAAUCUGCCUGGUAGUGGGGGAUAACGUCCGGAAACGGGCGCUAAUACCGCAUACGUCCUGAGGGAGAAAGUGGGGGAUCUUCGGACCUCACGCUAUCAGAUGAGCCUAGGUCGGAUUAGCUAGUUGGUGGGGUAAAGGCCUACCAAGGCGACGAUCCGUAACUGGUCUGAGAGGAUGAUCAGUCACACUGGAACGGGGAAACGGCCCAGACCCUUAGGGAGGGCAGCGUGGGGAAAUAUGGGACAAUGGGGGAAAGCCUGACCAAGCAAGGCGGGGGUGUUGAAGAAGGUCUUCGGAUGGUAAAGCACUUUAGGUGGGAGGAAAGGCCAUUAGGUUAUACCCUGCCGGUUUGAAGUUAACAAAAAGAUAAGCAACGGCUAAAUUCGUG
rnacentral:rRNA from 1 species